AAGGUGUCUUGGCUAAGGUGUCUUGGCUAAGGUGUCUUGGCUAAGGUGUCUUGGCUAAAGUGUCUUGGCUAAUGUGUCUUGGCUAAUGUGUCUUGGCUAAUGUGUCUUGGCUAAGGUGUCUUGGCUAAGGUGUCUUGGCUAAGGUGUCAUGGCUAAUGUGUCUUGGCUAAGGUGUCUUGGCUAAUGUGUCUUGGCUAAUGUGUCUUGGCUAAUGUGUCUUGGUUUAGGUGUCUUGGCUAAUGUGUCUUGGCUAAUGUGUCUUGGCUAAGUUGUCUUGGCUAAGGUGUCUUGGCUAAGGUGUCUUGGCUAAUGUGUCUUGGCUAAGGUGUCUUGGCUAAUGUGUCUUGGCUAAUGUGUCUUGGCUAAAGUGUCUUGGCUAAGGUGUCUUGGCUAAGGUGUCUUGGCUAAGGUGUCUUGGCUAAUGUGUCUUGGCUAAUGUGUCUCGGCUAAGGUGUCUUGGCUAAGGUGUCUUGGCUAAGGUGUCU